AGUGAACGCUGGCGGUAGGCCUAACACAUGCAAGUCGAACGGCAGCACAGAGGAGCUUGCUCCUUGGGUGGCGAGUGGCGGACGGGUGAGGAAUACAUCGGAAUCUACUCUGUCGUGGGGGAUAACGUAGGGAAACUACGCUAAUACCGCAUACGACCUACGGGUGAAAGCAGGGGACCUUCGGGCCUUGCGCGAUUGAAUGAGCCGAUGUCGGAUUAGCUAGUUGGCGGGGUAAAGGCCCACCAAGGCGACGAGCCGUAGCUGGUCGGAGAGGAUGAUCAGCCACACUGGAACGGAGACACGGUCCAGACUCCUACGGGAGGACGCAGUGGGGAAUAUUGGACAAUGGGCGCAAGCCUGAUCCAGCCAUACCGCGUGGGUGAAGAAGGCCUUCGGGUUGUAAAGCCCUUUUGUUGGGAAUGAAAUCAAGCUGGCUAAUACCCGGUUGGGAUGACGGUACCCAAAGAAUAAGCACCGGCUAACUUCGUGCCAGCCGCCGCCGUAA
rnacentral:rRNA from 1 species